ACGUUGGUUUGGGUUAAAUCAGUCGAAGUAUCAGUGGGCUUUGGAUGAUUAUUAUGAGAACAAGGAAUUGGUAAGUUGGAUUGCACGUAUGAUAGAUUUUUUAGUUAUUUUGUUGUUCAUCAAUUAUCUGUUAUACUGUUUAUAAAAUUUGUAAUGUAAGUCUUAAUUGAAUGACUUAAUGUACUUUUCUUGUAUCCCUGCGAUUGAUUUUUUUUAGGAAUAUAUUUGUGCAGCGUUAGAUUUGACUGCUCUAAUUAUGUAUCAUAUUAAGUUUGGUAGAAUGAAUUAUUGUUGAAGUUAAAGGGAAGUAGCUUAAAAGCAACUGCUUUUUAAUUCUUACACUUUUCUCUUCAUAUGCUUUUCUCUCAGUCUUUUUCUUUAUCACUCUUAAUUAUACAACAACCAAGUAUAAUUGUCAUGGUAAUAAUCACUUCCUGAUAUCAUUCUGUUGCUUGUUCUAAAACCUUAUGAGUUGUUGAUUGGCUUUUCAGUGUGUAUGCGUUUACUCACUAUCAGUUGCUUGAUCUCAGUUCUGGAAGCUAGUUGCACUGACUAUAUGAGAUUUAUGUUUUCUUAUUCUUUGGAAUAACCAAUAGUGUUUAUGCAAUGCUAUGAUAAUCGAAAGUGAGAGCCUUGCCAUGAUAAUCUAUUGGCUUGUACUUUAGCCAUGAAUCCUUUUGAAGUAUUCACUAUAUGUGCAUCCUAAGUGGAAAAUGAAUUGGCUUUGAGCUCAAUAAUAGAGAAAAGCAUUUGUUAUUUUGAAAAGUAGGUUCUCCUCUAAUGGGGAUAAAUACCAAUUAAUAUGCUCUUCA
rnacentral:misc_RNA from 1 species